rfam:Populus trichocarpa scaffold_10_contig_178, whole genome shotgun sequence.
UCUAGAACUCGAGAUAUGGGUUGAACACUGAACAAUAUCUGGGCUGUAAGACAGAUUUUGACUUCUCCGUUGUUGCUAAGAUUUGAACUUAAAAAUGACCUUUUUGAAUCUUGGACUCCGCAUGAAAGUUUUAGGCCUAUGUCUUAGCUUUCCAUC